UGCACCCAUGAUGACAAUGUGCCAUUAACCAAGGAGUAUGACUUAUCCAAAUCUGUGUAUUUGAGAUCCACA
rnacentral:snoRNA from 1 species